GUACCCUUUCCUGGAACACAUUGGCCCAGGAGCCAGAAUCAUCUUCUUUGGGUCUACAACCAUCUUAAUGAACUUCCUGUACCUGCUGGGAGAAGUUCUGAACAACUAUAUCUGGGAUACACAGAAAAGUAUGGAAGAAGAGAAAGAAAAGCCUAAAUUGGAAUGAGAUCCAAGUCUAAACGCAAGAGCUAGAUUGAGCCGCCAUUGAAGACUCCUUCCCCUCGGGCAUUGGCAGUGGGGGAGAAAAGGCUUCAAAGGAACUUGGUGGCAUCAGCACCCCCCUCCCCCAAUGAGGACACCUUUUAUAUAUAAAUAUGUAUAAACAUAGAAUACAGUUGUUUCCAAAAGAACUCACCCUCACUGUGUGUUAAAGAAUUCUUCCCAAAGUCAUUACUGAUAAUAACAUUUUUUCCUUUUCUAGUUUUAAAACCAGAAUUGGACCUUGGAUUUUUAUUUUGGCAAUUGUAACUCCAUCUAAUCAAGAAAGAAUAAAAGUUUAUUGCACUUCUUUUUGAGAAAUAUGUUAAAGUCAAAGGGGCAUAUAUAGAGUAAGGCUUUUGUGUAUUUAAUCCUAAAGGUGGCUGUAAUCAUGAACCUAGGCCACCAUGGGGACCUGAGAGGGAAGGGGACAGAUGUUUCUCAUUGCAUAAUGUCACAGUUGCCUCAAAUGAGCACCAUUUGUAAUAAUGAUGUCAAUUUCAUGAAAAGCCUGAGUGUAUUGCAUCUCUUGAUUUAAUCAUGUGAAACUUUUCCUAGAUGCAAAUGCUGACUAAUAAAGACAAAGCCACCCUGAACC
rnacentral:lncRNA from 1 species